UACGUAGGGGGCAAGCGUUAUCCGGAAUUAUUGGGCGUAAAGAGUACGUAGGUGGCAACCUAAGCGCAGGGUUUAAGGCAAUGGCUUAACCAUUGUUCGCCCUGCGAACUGGGAUGCUUGAGUGCAGGAGAGGAAAGCGGAAUUCCUAGUGUAGCGGUGAAAUGCGUAGAUAUUAGGAGGAACACCAGUGGCGAAGGCGGCUUUCUGGACUGUAACUGACACUGAGGUACGAAAGCGUGGGGAGCAAA
rnacentral:rRNA from 1 species